UUAGAAAUUUGAGACUUCUUGUGACUUAAACUGCCUGUUCUACCAGAAUGAGGAAACGGAGGCUCAGGGAAAUUAAAUGGCUUGACCAAAAUUCAUGUGUAAGUGUCAGCAAGUGCCUAUACUGGGAUUUGAACCUAAGUCUGUCUGACUCCAAAUCGGCAGUCCUAAGCUAUUGCUCCACUUCCCUGCUUUGUACACCAGAAAGGUAAGAGACACAAAUGGGGCUAUUUGAAAAACAAACAGCAGGAUGAACAACUAGUUGAUAUGCCCCUUCAAGGCCCAAAUGAAGAGCAUGAUUGGACCAGACUGUGUGGAAGAGGACAAAGAGGUAGGAGCAAGAAAGAGGAGCCUCUGGAUGAGCAGAAGCCAGUAAAGGGACACCAAUGGCACAUAUCCAUCUUCCAACUAAAGCAUUACAGGCUAACUCUUUUUUUCCAUCAUUGAGCAAGUUGCUUUGACCCACACACUCCCUAAAAACACUGCAGCAGCAUCAUACCACACAGUGGAAGAAAUCUCAUCCCAAAUAUGCACAUAGAUAACCAGAGAGACUACUGGUUAUCCACUUGGUGACCUGGCCAACUGGCAACUGAACUGGAAAAACAUCUGCUGACCUAAAAACUACUCUACCAGGCAACUUUCUCUCAAUGAGUUCCCUGUAAAACAUUCUCUGUUAACCUACUCAUUAGUAUAAGAGUGAGUCUUUGGGAAAAGAUGUACCUGGACUCAAGUCCAGGCUCUAACACCUACUGACUCUGUGACCUUGAACAAGAUUCGUAUGUGUGCUAGGCAUCAUUUGUAAUGCAUGCAUAAUAAUUCUAUCCUAGGAUUACAGGGAGGAUUAACUGAGAUGAUACAUGAGAAACAGUCCAGUGCUUGGGCUCUAAUAAGUGCUCAAACAGAUUAGCUGUUGUUACUUAAAAAUUAUGGCAAGUAAAGCCCUUUAUAAGCUCUUCAAAGCAGUCAAAGAUAUCCAUUUUUACUUUACUAGUGAAAUCAGCAAUGUGAUUCUUAUAUUAGAGAUAUAAAAAUCUGGCAUUUAGGGCAUUUGCAUUAGACAAGUAUAUUUUUGCUUGGAGUAGCACUAUGUAUUCAUGUGAGAUAAAGAACUAUCUAGAUUGCCAUAUAUUGGAACUCCAGUAACCAAAUCCUAUAGCUGCUGUGGUCUAGGGUGGCUGGCUACCCUUGCUAAUUUAAACAUUUUCUCUCAGGCUAUUGGUUUCCUUCUGGCUUCCUGUGAUGCUAUCUCAGACACAAUUGCAACCAGGUUUGCGGUGCGGUUUAAUGACACAUUUCAUGAGGUUUUGUUUUGGUGUUGCUCUGUCAAAAUGAUGUGGGGGAUAAGGGAGUGCAAUCUAUUGCAGCUGUUUGUUAUCACUCAGAUAAGCCUGAGAAGCUUCCCAAUUAACCUUAGUGUGUCAUAAAGCCAAUCAGUACAUGAAAACAAGAAUUUCUCAUUUACUGAAAUGAUAUUUGCCUUGUAAUUGCUGUCUGGGAAUGUUGAACCAAGUAGAAAACAUUAAGGAAACUGCACUCCUCCCCACAAAUUUAAGCUUGGUGAUUGUUAAAAAUAAAAAUAAAAAAGACCAAGAAUACUGUAGUCCCAGCUACUUAGGAGGCUGAGACAGGAGAAUUGUUUGAACCCGGGAGGUGGAGGUUGCAGUGAGCCGAGAUCAUGCCACUGCACACCAGCCUGGGCGACAGAGCAAGACUCCAUCUCAAAAAAAAAAGACCAAGAAUAUUAUUUGGUAGUCUAGCUGUUUUGUCCUGGUUUCAAGGCACCACAUGUCUUUUGAUGUAAAAUAAUAUACUAAAACAUGCUUACAGCUUAAAACC
rnacentral:lncRNA from 1 species